AACGCGAAGAACCUUACCCGGGCUUGACAUGCAUCGUGUCGCCGGUGAAAGCCGGCUAGUGUAGCAAUACACGCUUUGCACAGGUGCUGCAUGGCUGUCGUCAGCUCGUGUCGUGAGAUGUUGGGUUAAGUCCCGCAACGAGCGCAACCCUCGCCCUUAGUUGCCAUCAUUUAGUUGGGCACUCUAAGGGGACUGCAGGUGAUAAGCCGCGAGGAAGGUGGGGAUGACGUCAAGUCCUCAUGGCCAUUACGGGCUGGGCUACACACGUGCUACAAUGGCGGUGACAGUGGGAUGCAAUGGAGUGAUCCUGCGCAAAUCUCAAAAAGCCGUCUCAGUUCGGAUUGUGCUCUGCAACUCGAGCACAUGAAGUCGGAAUCGCUAGUAAUCGCAGAUCAGCACGCUGCGGUGAAUACGUUCCCGGGCCUUGUACACACCGAGACGAC
rnacentral:rRNA from 1 species